CCUACGGGGGGCUGCAGUGGGGAAUUUUGGACAAUGGGGGCAACCCUGAUCCAGCCAUGCCGCGUGCGGGAAGAAGGCCUUCGGGUUGUAAACCGCUUUUGUCAGGAGAGAAAUCUCUUGGGCUAAUACCCUGAGAGGUUGACGGUACCUGAAGAAUAAGCACCGGCUAACUCCGUGCCAGCAGCCGCGGUAAUACGUAGGGUGCAAGCGUUAAUCGGAAUUACUGGGCGUAAAGCGGCAAGACGCGGUUGAAAUCCCCGGGCUUAACAUGGGAACUGCACUUGUGACUGCACGGCUAGAGUACGGCAGAGGAGGAUGGAAUUCCGCGUGUAGCAGUGAAAUGCGUAGAUAUGCGGAGGAACACCGAUGGCGAAGGCAGUCCCCUGGGCCUGUACUGACGCUCAUGCACGAAAGCGUGGGGAGCAAACAGGAUUAGAUACCCUAGUAGUC
rnacentral:rRNA from 1 species